rnacentral:rRNA from 1 species
GACGAACGCUGGCGGCAUGCUUAACACAUGCAAGUCGAACGCAGCAUCCAAGCUUGCUUGGAUGUCUGAGUGGCAGACGGGUGAGUAACACGUGGGAACUUACCCUUUAGACUGGGACAACAACUGGAAACGGUGGCUAAUCCCGGAUACGCCCUGCUGGGGAAAGCAGCAAUGCGCUAAGGGAGAGGCCCGCAGGAGAUUAGGUAGUUGGUGGGGUAAAGGCCUACCAAGCCUGUUAUAUGUAGCUGGUUUGAGAGGAUGAUCAGCCACACUGGGACUGGGACACGGCCCAGACUCCUACGGGAGGCAGCAGUGGGGAAUAUUGGACAAUGGGGGAAACCAUGAUCCAGCAAUGCCGCGUGAAUGAAGAAGGCCUUAAGGUUGUAAAGUUCUUUUGUCCGUGACGAUAAUGACGGUAGCGGACGAAUAAGCCCUGGCUAACUCUGUGCCAGCAGCCGCGGUAA